rnacentral:rRNA from 1 species
GACGAACCGUCCAAACGUUGUUCGGAAUCACUGGGCUUAAAGGGCGCGUAGGCGGAUGCUCAAGUCGGUGGUGAAAUCUUUCGGCUCAACCGGAGAAGUGCCGCCGAUACUGGGGAUCUCGAGGGAGGUAGGGGUCGAGGGAACUUCCGGUGGAGCGGUGAAAUGCGUAGAUAUCGGAAGGAACGCCGGUGGCGAAAGCGCUCGACUGGACCUCUGCUGACGCUGAGGCGCGAAAGCCAGGGGAGCAAACGGG